rnacentral:rRNA from 1 species
ACAUGCCUACAACAUAGAAUUAAUGCACCAGAUCCCAUUAGAACUUCGUAGUUAAGCACGCUCAGGCUAGAGUACUAUUGGGAUAGGUGACCACCUAGGAACUCCUAUUGUUUUACAUGCC